GAAUCGUUCUUAAUGUCAGCACGCCGUUGUUUGAAUGAAUUAUCUGUGGAUAAAAUGAUUUACAUACAAAUAAUGUUGCUAAAUAAUAUUGGAAAAAAGAUAUUUACUAGAAAAACAGCUGAAUCCAGACAGGUACCUUCGUUUGAAAACGAAAGUGAAGCUCUUUGUAUUUUAAGCACCUGCACACGCGGUCUGUCGACGACGACGACUCCGUGAUGAUGGGUGCCAAAUGUGGCAGGACCACCCAGUGGUGCCCAGGAGCGAUCUUACAGUUUAUCAUUCUCUCUUCAUUCCGGGAGCUAAGAUGGGGCCAUGUUCCCUGGCAGGAAUCCAUACAUGGCUCACCCUCCCACUGGAACGCCUGAUUCCAGUUCAGCCCUUUACAAGACAUGCCAGGACCCUUUGUGUGCCAGGCUGGGCUGGGUGUGCGGGCAGAGCAGGACAGCUUCCUCGAGAUGUCAUUAUUGCUGGGGAAAUUGCCACUCUUGUCAGAGGCUGCAGCUGGGAGGUAUGGCAUUUCAUAAAGAAGCAUCAGAGCGACAUUCAAUGCACAUUUCAUCAACCACAGUGAUAAAAGUCUUUGUUUUCUCCUGAGUAAUUCACACGGAUGAUCAUGUAUUGAUAGAUUGCAUAAUUAUUUUAACGUUUGUAUGAUGAAAAUGGGAUCUGUUUUGCAGAGAUCAAUGUUUCAUAUUUCAUUCUAAGUCUGAGAGCUUCAAGCAAAUUUCGUUUUUUGAUGUGCGGUACCUUUGUGUUAAAAAUUAAUUAGUUUAGGUAACAAAGUUAGGGAUGCUAUCAAAACUUUUUUAAAGGAUUAUUUCAGUGACUUUUUGCCUCUGCUCAAUGUAUGUUCACUCAAGGCCAAGUAUGAAUAAUGUAAACAUUGUUUUCUGCUCAGUGUUUAAAUGUGAACAAUCGUGUCAUAUCAUGCACCAUAAUCAUAUUAAAGAGCCCAUAUUAUGGGUUUUUGAAAAUUCCCCUCCAUGUAGUGUGUAACACAGCUCUAAGUGAAGUGGAGUAUCCAGCUAAGGCUUAAAUCUGUUAGUGUACAGUGUUAAAAACGGUUGAUUCAUCUAAAAAAAGAGUCAACUCAUAGUGCUUCAAACGAGUCGCCUUGAUACCGAUUCAUUAGGUGUUUCGCCAUGACGUACGAACGAAACCAAGUUAUUCACGUGCACGCGCAAACCCGGGAGAUUUCCCCGCCCCGCCCUCUGACGCAGAAACCCAGACACACACACACACACACAAACAUGCCGGUCGAUUGAAGUCACACUGCAGAUGGAUAUAUUGAGUCUCUACCCAAAGAUGAAACCUCAGCAUUAUAGCCAAGCAGUUGGAAACUACUGGAAACUUCUGGAAACUACAUGCUACAAAGAAUACUUCAUCUGCGUUUGUUAAAGGAAGAAUCAGUAAAGAGUAACUUACUGAUAGACGUCAGGAUGGGUUUCUUCCUCCAUUUCUCAAGUGUAAGUACGUGCGAUUAAAGUUGCCUCGUUGACUCUAGCUUGCAAAUGUAUUUAGUUGUGAUUUGUUACUUGUAACCGCGUGUACUGUAUCAGGUUAACUGGCUAUAUUCUCUUAUCGCGUGCAAAGUCACGUUAAAAACGCGACGCGUGCUGCUUUGUUAACGGAGCUCCGUGGACGGGGAGUAGUGUGUGUGUCUGUGUGUGCGUGUGCGCGCGCUGUCGUCCGGAGGUGUGUGUGUUUGUGUGCGUGUGUGUGUGUGUGUGUGUGCACGCGCGUUGUCGUCAGGAGCAGGGUUAAGUGCGUAUGUGUGUGUGUGUGUGAGUGUGUGCAAUAUGUGUGUAUGUGUCUGUGAAAAGAGCAGAGUGAGAAGCUAGGAGAUCUCCUCAACUGUUUUUGGAGUUUUUGUUCAAUA
ensembl:lincRNA